AAGAACAAAGUACUUUCACAUGGAAUAAUUAAAGAGGGAAACAUCCUGACAGAUUCGACGACACAUACACGAUGUAUUUUAUAAGAAGCGUAUAAUAUUAGUUUAAUUUAAUCUCAACUUAAUUAAACCUCCAUCUGCAUACCGUUUUCGAAUCAGCAAAUUUCCAUUCUUUCGAUAUUUUUGUUUGAACGUUGCUUCGCUAAUAAAAUUUAGGUAACACGUUACGAUGCGAAUCGAGUGACAUUCUAGAAGCUUGGAAGAGCUUUUAUCCAAGAAUUUUUGGAGAUUUGUUAAAACACAAAGGUAUAAACAAAGCCGAAUGGUCUUAAACGACUCGGUAUAGGAACAAAGUCGGUAAAAAUAAAGUUGCAGUCGGAAGAUUAAUAUUAAAAAUUGUAGGGACAAUGUGCAUCGUCUUGAAGUAUAUAAAUGAUCGAGUCGGUGUUGAAAAUGUUAAAAUACAAAAUAACAUUUUCUGUUAUGACAAGCGUGACCAGCGUGAAACGCAUUUCCCUUGAUGACAGGAAUUUUUCGACGAAAGAACAAGAACACGGAAGAAACUUAUAACCUAAAGUCAUCAGGAUGUUUGCGUUUCGUGGCAGGGUAAAUUCCCCAUACAAUUCUCCUAAUCUCUCGACCGCAACGAGGUCGCCCGUAGGAUUCGCGAACGAGUACCAUAAAUACGGCAGAAACGGUCAUUUCGAGUCCAUUCUUCGCGUUCGACUCGUCGUGCAACGACGAAACAGUGAUCGUGGUCGGUUGUUACAACAGGUAGGUCCACAUCUCGCAUUAACUGUUACGUUACCGAUCAUAAUUGUUCGAACGAGAUCGAUAUUUCGAAAUAGACAGAAUAUCUUUAAAUAAUUUUUGAAAUCCAAUUGUUGCAAGGCAUCGGGGACGAAAGUUUAGCGCGACGUAUUGUUAAAAUUUAAAAAUACAUAAUCUUAAAACACUGUAAGUGCCAAGAAGCAAGAUGUUCAGGAGGAGAAGAAUCCUUAUGCAUCAAUGCAGUCGAAAUUGGUGAAAAAGACAAGUGUAUUUGUAGAAAACUCUGUACGUGUUACCAUUUGUAGUUGUAUUAUAUUAUAUUAUUAUGUUAUGUUGUUCUGUUUUAUAGUUAGUUCCAUUCAUCUAAUUUCUCUCUGUGGAAACGCCAUCUUCUAGCAUUAUUAAUAAAUAUUUAGAAAGCGAAAUUGCACUCAAAUUCUAUACCGCGAUAUUUCCACUGGUAUAUAGAACAUUUUUCAAUAAAAAGUCAAAGUUUUUCAAUUUUGGCACUUACAAUGUUUCCUACGAGCGCUCCUCGGUUAUAAACAGUUACUAUGUAUAUAGGGUGUUUUCGAAAUCGUGGUACAACAGGAAAGGGGGUCGAAAAUAUCGCCUGAUAUAAAAGUAAGUCGAAAAUAUGGACUACAAUUUUUUCAUACGGAGUUUCGUCUUCGAGAAUGUAAUAUUUUGUAUAUUUUGUAGGAAUGACGAGAUCCCUCCUUACGCUAGCGCUCUUAUCAGCGGUGGCAUGCAAUAUCGAUGCGACGAAGAUAAAGGACACUUCUAUGGAAAGCAUAAACGAUGAAGCGACACCGACGUUCAAUCUGAAUGUGCGUUGUUCGGGGAAACAUGGAAGACGCGGAUCGUGGCAAGACGCCAUUUGUUUCGAAAUCGAUGACGAUUCCUCGCGAGAGGCUACUAAAUCGCUGAAACUCACACCUUUUACAGCGAACAGAUACGUGGACCCAAGUGGCAAACAAUCGCAAUAUGAUAGCUGGAAUCUGGCAAAGAGAAUAGGAGCCGAGCACGUAGGACGUCGUAUCCUGAAUCCUACCAUACCGAGAUCGGUAGACUUCCGCAAACUACUG